rnacentral:rRNA from 1 species
GGUUAAGCGACUAAGCGUACACGGUGGAUGCCCUGGCAGUCAGAGGCGAUGAAGGACGUGCUAAUCUGCGAUAAGCGUCGGUAAGGUGAUAUGAACCGUUAUAACCGGCGAUUUCCGAAUGGGGAAACCCAGUGUGUUUCGACACACUAUCAUUAACUGAAUCCAUAGGUUAAUGAGGCGAACCGGGGGAACUGAAACAUCUAAGUACCCCGAGGAAAAGAAAUCAACCGAGAUUCCCCCAGUAGCGGCGAGCGAACGGGGAGGAGCCCAGAGCCUGAAUCAGUGUGUGUGUUAGUGGAAGCGUCUGGAAAGGCGUGCGAUACAGGGUGACAGCCCCGUACACAAAAAUGCACAUAUUGUGAGCUCGAUGAGUAGGGCGGGACACGUGGUAUCCUGUCUGAAUAUGGGGGGACCAUCCUCCAAGGCUAAAUACUCCUGACUGACCGAUAGUGAACCAGUACCGUGAGGGAAAGGCGAAAAGAACCCCGGCGAGGGGAGUGAAAAAGAACCUGAAACCGUGUACGUACAAGCAGUGGGAGCCUCUUAAUGGGGUGACUGCGUACCUUUUGUAUAAUGGGUCAGCGACUUAUAUUCUGUAGCAAGGUUAACCGAAUAGGGGAGCCGAAGGGAAACCGAGUCUUAACUGGGCGUUAAGUUGCAGGGUAUAGACCCGAAACCCGGUGAUCUAGCCAUGGGCAGGUUGAAGGUUGGGUAACACUAACUGGAGGACCGAACCGACUAAUGUUGAAAAAUUAGCGGAUGACUUGUGGCUGGGGGUGAAAGGCCAAUCAAACCGGGAGAUAGCUGGUUCUCCCCGAAAGCUAUUUAGGUAGCGCCUCGUGAAUUCAUCUCCGGGGGUAGAGCACUGUUUCGGCAAGGGGGUCAUCCCGACUUACCAACCCGAUGCAAACUGCGAAUACCGGAGAAUGUUAUCACGGGAGACACACGGCGGGUGCUAACGUCCGUCGUGAAGAGGGAAACAACCCAGACCGCCAGCUAAGGUCCCAAAGUCAUGGUUAAGUGGGAAACGAUGUGGGAAGGCCCAGACAGCCAGGAUGUUGGCUUAGAAGCAGCCAUCAUUUAAAGAAAGCGUAAUAGCUCACUGGUCGAGUCGGCCUGCGCGGAAGAUGUAACGGGGCUAAACCAUG